CUUCAUCUCUUUUAACUCUUCGUAGAUCCUUAACUUCCACUUUCCCAAAUUACCCUUCCUCCCAUCCAUUAUUCCCCAAAUUCCCAAAACCCUUAACCCUAAAAACCCUAAUCCCCAAUUUCAAAUUCUCCUCCGCCGUCACCACCACCGCCGCCGCCGCCACCAAAACCCCCAAAUCCCUCAAAACUCGGCUCAAAAAUAACGAAACUCUCUACGGCAUCUUCCUCCUCAGCUUCUCCCCUACCAUCGCCGAAAUCGCCGGACUUUCCGGGUACGAUUUCGCCGUUGUUGAUAUGGAGCACGGCCCCGGAGG
rnacentral:lncRNA from 1 species